UACGGGGGGGGCAAGCGUUGUUCGGAAUUACUGGGCGUAAAGGGCUCGUAGGUGGCCAACUAAGUCAGACGUGAAAUCCCUCGGCUUAACCGGGGAACUGCGCCCGAUACUGCGGUGCUUGAGGACCAGAGGGGUGCAUGGAAUUUCCGGUGGAGCGGUGAAAUGCGUUGAUAUCGGAAGGAACUCCGGCGGCGAAAGCGAUGCACUGGCUGGUUUCUGACGCUGAGGUGCGAAAGCCAGGGGAGCAAACGGG
rnacentral:rRNA from 1 species